rnacentral:rRNA from 1 species
UGAGUGGCGAACGGGUGAGUAACACGUGAGUAACCUGCCCUCUUCUUUGGAUAACGCCCGGAAACGGGUGCUAAUACUGGAUAUUCACUGAUCUUCGCAUGGGGGUUGGUGGAAAGGUUUUUUCUGGUGGGGGAUGGGCUCGCGGCCUAUCAGCUUGUUGGUGGGGUGAUGGCCUACCAAGGCUUUGACGGGUAGCUGGCCUGAGAGGGUGACCGGUCACAUUGGGACUGAGAUACGGCCCAG